UAUAUGUUUGGUAUGCCAUAUACUUCAGUUUACUCAAAUUCACGUAGUGAACACGAUUUGUAAUGAAGCUGGAGCAGGCAAAUAACCCAUUGGAGAAACAAGUCAAAGAAGGGUCGUAUAAAUUUCCGAACAACCUCUGGAAGAAUGUUAGCAGUGAAGCUAAGGAUCUUAUAACAAAACUGCUUACUGUUGGUCACAGAAAAUGCAUCACGGUUUCAGAAGCUCUGGAACAUCCUUGGAUGAAGGAUAAAGAAAUGAUAGAAAAAGCAGAAAAAAUGAUAAAACCGACCGUGGAUGGAAGAUCAAUGUCUCCGCCCUUAUAAAAGCUUUAGAACCCCAUCGAACAGGAAAGUCGGAAUUUAAAAGGCAAGUAAAUCUUUCACACUGUUGUAGCACUUGAAUUCUGUGGUACAUUUAACUACUGAACCUUUCAGAAUAUUGUAGAAUCGGGCAUGGCAUGGAAUAAUAGUAAAUA